rnacentral:tRNA from 1 species
AGCGGGUUAGAGGAAUGGUACCUCGUAAGGCUCAUAACCUUAAGAAACACGUUCGAUUCGUGUACCCGCAA